UAAAAACGAACUAAAUUUAUCAAACAAUAGUAAUACGAUCAUGAUCACGGUCUUCUUAUUAUCAAGAUAUCUAGCCUACUAACUACACGGAAAGUAUUAUAGUUCACAAGUAUGUAUACAAAUUCCGGGCUGCAACUGAGAAUUUCUCGGCUGGUAAACCCUAUAACUUUUAAUAGCGCGAACCGAGUUUUGAAUCCACGAUCUUACGAAGCCUCUACACGAACGAAGCAAUCAAUUUUAUCAAAUCUUUGAAUGUAAUCAAACCUCUUCAAAACUUUUACCAAAAUAAUAUUAUAGUUGAUUUGAAAUCGAAAAGAAGUCGAUUACAUUUUCGUUCAA